rnacentral:rRNA from 1 species
ACGUAGGGACCAAGCGUUGUUCGGAUUUACUGGGCGUAAAGGGAGCGUAGGCGGCAAUUCAAGUCAGUUGUGAAAUCUCCGAGCUUAACUCGGAACGGUCAACUGAUACUGCUUUGCUAGAGUACAGAAGGGGCAAUCGGAAUUCUUGGUGUAGCGGUGAAAUGCGUAGAUAUCAAGCGGAACACCGGUGGCGAAGGCGACCUUCUGGACAGUGACUGACGCUGAGACGCGAAAGCGUGGGGAGCAAACAGGA